rnacentral:rRNA from 1 species
UACGUAGGGCGCGAGCGUUGUCCGGAAUUAUUGGGCGUAAAGAGCUCGUAGGCGGCCUGUUGCGUCUGCUGUGAAAUCCCGGGGCUUAACCCCGGGCGUGCAGUGGAUACGGGCAGGCUGGAGGCAGGCAGGGGAGAAUGGAAUUCCCGGUGUAGCGGUGAAAUGCGCAGGUAUCGGGAGGAACACCGGUGGCGAAGGCGGUUCUCUGGGCCUGUUCUGACGCUGAGGAGCGAAAGCGUGGGGAGCAAACAGG